rnacentral:rRNA from 1 species
UACGGAAGGCAGCAGUGGGGAAUAUUGCACAAUGGGCGAAAGCCUGAUGCAGCUAUGCCGCGUGUAUGAAGAAGGCCUUAGGGUUGUAAAGUACUUUCAUCGGGGAGGAAAAAACAAAACUAAUAAUUUUAUUUCUUGACGUUACCCGAAAAAGAAGCACCGGCUAACUCCGUGCCAGCAGCCGCGGUAAUACGGAGGGUGCUAGCGUUAAUCAGAAUUACUGGGCGUAAAGAGCACGUAGGUGGUUUUUUUAAGUCAGAUGUGAAUCCCUGGGCUUAACCUAGGAACUGCAUUUUGAAACUGAAAUACUAGAGUAUCGUAGAGGGAGGUAGAAUUCUAGGUGUAGCGGUGAAAUGCGUAGAUAUCUGGAGGAAUACCUGUGGCGAAAGCGGCCUCCUAAACGAAUACUGACACUGAGGUGCGAAAGCGUGGGGAGCAAACGAGGGAUUAGAUACC